GACGAACGCUGGCGGCGUGCCUAAUACAUGCAAGUAGAACGCUGAAGGAGGAGCUUGCUUCUCCGGAUGAGUUGCGAACGGGUGAGUAACGCGUAGGUAACCUGCCUGGUAGCGGGGGAUAACUAUUGGAAACGAUAGCUAAUACCGCAUAUAGUAGAUGUUGCAUGACAUUUGCUUAAAAGGUGCAAUUGCAUCACUACCAGAUGGACCUGCGUUGUAUUAGCUAGUUGGUGGGGUAACGGCUCACCAAGGCGACGAUACAUAGCCGACCUGAGAGGGUGAUCGGCCACACUGGGACUGAGACACGGCCCAGACUCCUACGGGAGGCAGCAGUAGGGAAUCUUCGGCAAUGGACGGAAGUCUGACCGAGCAACGCCGCGUGAGUGAAGAAGGUUUUCGGAUCGUAAAGCUCUGUUGUAAGAGAAGAACGAGUGUGAGAGUGGAAAGUCACACUGUGACGUAUCUACCA
rnacentral:rRNA from 1 species